rnacentral:rRNA from 1 species
CAGCAGGCGCGAAAACUUUACAAUGCUGGCAACAGCGAUAAGGGGACCUUGAGUGCCAGGAUACAAUCCUGGCUGUCGUGAUGCCUAAAAAGCAUUAUAUAGCAAGGGCCGGGCAAGACCGGUGCCAGCCGCCGCGGUAACACCGGCGGCUCGAGUGGUAACCGCUAUUAUUGGGUCUAAAGGGUCUGUAGCCGGCUUGGUUAGUCUCUUGGGAAAUCCGGCAGCUUAACUGUCGGGCUUUCAGGAGAUACUGCCAGGCUCGAGACCGGGAGAGGUGAGAGGUACUUCAUGGGUAGGGGUGAAAUCUUGUAAUCCUUGAAGGACCACCAGUGGCGAAGGCGUCUCACCAGAACGGAUCUGACGGCAAGGGACGAAAGCUAGGGGCACGAACCGGAUUAGAUACCCGGGUAGUCCUAGCCGUAAACGAUACUCGCUAGGUGUCGGCCACGGUGCGACCGUGGUCGGUGCCGUAGGGAAGCCGUGAAGCGAGCCACCUGGGAAGUACGGCCGCAAGGCUGAAACUUAAAGGAAUUGGCGGGGGAGCAC